AAAUGAAAUUAAAGGGAAGGUGCGGGAAGGAAGGAAGGAAGGAAGGAAGGCAGGCAGGAAGGAAGGAAGGAAGGAAGGAAGGAAGGAAGGAAGGAAGGAAGGAAAAGAGGGAAUCUUGCUCAAGCAGUUUUAGAGGAAUAGCUCUAAAAUAAGUGGCUUUCUGAGGAUCAGAGGCAGAGCCUUUUUGCUGAAGGUGGGAAUGGAGUGAAGCAUGCAAGAGGACAGUUCUGGAUGCCAACAAUCUGAUUGCUGAUCCUUGAAGUGUGCACGUGUAUCUGGCUUUUGCUUUCCCAGCUGAUCCUGCUGAAAUUAGGGAAAAGCAGUGCUGGGUUAACAGUUGGACUUGAAGAUCUUUGAGGUCUUUUCCAGCCUUAAGGAUUCUGUGAGUCUUUUGAGCUGAGGAGAGCUCCAGGAUCUGUUUUAAUCCUCGCUGGCUAAUGCAGCCCUGGCUGGAGAGGGGGGAUGUGACACUCUUGUGCUCCAGGUGCCACAAGAAACUCCUGCUGCUGCCUCUCUCUCCCUUCCUGAGCCUGCAGUGGCAGCAUCUUUCCUGGGAUGUGAAUGAAUUUGUUUUGGAGGCAGAGAGGAGCGGAAAACUGGCUUGUCAGGAAACUUGGCUGAAGCUGUUUGAGUGAGGCUGACUGGAAAACAGCUGUGCAUGCACAGAGCAGAGACUGCACCCUGCACUGCCAGGGUGGGCUGGCAGGGAAGUCCUUUUGCUCUUUUCCUUUUUUUUUUGUUUUUGUUUUUGUUUAAGAAACAGAAAUACAAGACCUGGUUGGCAACCUGGGAGGAGAAACCUGAGGUACCUGAGUGCCUGGGCUCAUGGGGACAUCCCAAACCACACCUUGAGGUGUGUGAUACCCCAAGAAGUGCCAGUCCUUGUGAAGCUGGUUCAGAACAGAACUGCAGAGCAGGUGUUGGAAGGGUCAGCAGGCCAAGGAAGGAAAGAAAAAGCUGAAGUGCCUGAGGUGCAGGGAAGCAUUUUGCUCUAUUCCCUGACUUUGCUUAGUGCCAGCUGUGUUUCCCCACUGCAGAGUAAGAGCAGGAGGGCUGAGGAUUUGGGAUGGGAAAGCCUGGAAUAGGGGAGGAAUUUCAUCACAUCUGUCCCUGGUGGUGGAACCCCUGGUUGUGGUGGAGGUUUGAUGGCCUGGCAGUGAAAUCAGGGGGUUCAGGGAGAUAAACCCACCUCAUCCAGGUGGGAAGGGGCUGGGAGCAACCCAGUCUAGUUGGAACUGGAUGGCCAUUAGGGUCCCUUUCAAUCCGUGACAUUCAGUGUUCCUGUGGCAGGGAAAGAGGUGGUGGAGAAGCUUCUCUGUGAGCAGCACAGGAUUGUUUGGAGUGCACCCUAAAGUGCUUCAGCACAGACUGGAAAAGAAAAAAAACACAUUUGGGAAUGCUGGUGCAUUUCCCAGGGUUUCUGAAGCCACUGUGUAUCCCGGGCAGCAUGGC
rnacentral:lncRNA from 1 species